AUUGAACGCUGGCGGCAGGCCUAACACAUGCAAGUCGAGCGGUAGAGAGGUGCUUGCACCUCUUUAGAGCGGCGGACGGGUGAGUAAUGCCUAGGAAUCUGCCUGGUAGUGGGGGAUAACGUUCGGAAACGGACGCUAAUACCGCAUACGUCCUACGGGAGAAAGCAGGGGACCUUCGGGCCUGGAGCUAUCAGAUGAGCCUAGGCCGGAUUAGCUAGAUGGUGUGGUAGUGGCUCACCAAGGCGACGAUCCGUAACUGGUCUGAGAGGAUGAUCAAUCAGACUGGAACUGAGACACGGUCCAGACUCCUACGGGAGGCAGCAGUGGGGAAUAUUGGACAAUGGGCGGAAGCCUGUUCCAUCCAUGCCGCGUGUGUGAAGAAGGUCUUCGGAUUGUAAAGCACUUUAAGUUGGGAGGAAAGGUUGUAGAUUAAUACUCUUGGGUAGUGGACGUUACUCGCAGAAUAAGCACCGGCUAACACUGUGCCAGCAGCCGCAGUAAAAC
rnacentral:rRNA from 1 species